UACAGAGGGUGCAAGCGUUAAUCGGAAUUACUGGGCGUAAAGGGUGCGUAGGCGGGUCUUUAAGUCAGGGGGGAAAUCCUGGAGCUCAACUCCAGAACUGCCUUUGAUACUGAAGAUCUUGAGUUCGGGAGAGGUGAGUGGAACUGCGAGUGUAGAGGUGAAAUUCGUAGAUAUUCGGAAGAACACCAGUGGCGAAGGCGACACACUGGGCCAUUACUGACGCUGAGGCGCGAAAGCGUGGGGAGCAAACAGG
rnacentral:rRNA from 1 species